CAGUUUAAUUUGAUUUUUUAAAAUUUUAUAAAAUAAUAAUUAAAAAAAAGAAUUUUUUGUUUUAUUAUUUUUAAGAAAUAAUUGAGUUAAUUAUAGUUUAUAGUAAAGUAAUUGAGUUAUUUAAAAUAAAAAAAGCUAAAUUAAUUUUUUGUACCUUGUGUAUCAGGGUUUAUUAAAAAAGUAUUAAUGAUUUAUUGUUCUCGAUUUUAAAAGUGCGGAUUAUUUUUAUAUUUUAAUGUUAAAUAAUUAUUUACAAAAAAUAAUCAGUAAUGAAAUGUUAUUCGAUUUUAAAGAUAUCUAGUUUUUAAAGAAAAAAAUUUAAUUUUAUAGGAUGAGAUAUUUAAUUUUUAUUAUUAAUUAUUAAAAAUUAAAUUUUUAUUGAUUUAUUUUACAUGGGAUAAGCUUUGUAAAAAAUUAUUAAAAAUAUUAGUAAAGAGUUUAGAUAAGUAGGAUUAGAAAUGUCAAUCAAAUAAUUUGUUAUUAUUAAUUAAAAUUAUAAAAAGAUUUUUAUAAGAGUUUUAAUAGUUUAUUUAAAUAUUAAAUUUAAUAGUUUAAUUUAGGAAAUUAUGAUAGAAUUAGUAUAAAUUAAUGUAAAGUUAUUAUUUUUUAUUAAGGUUUUAUAAAGGAAUUCGGCAAAUAUAUUUUUCGCCUGUUUAUUAAAAACAUGUCUUUUUGAAUAUAAUUUAAAGUCUGGCCUGCCCAUUGAAAAAUUUAACGGCCGCAGUAUUUUGACUGUGCUAAGGUAGCAUAAUCAUUUGUUUCUUAAUUAGAAGCUGGAAUAAAAGGUUGCACGAAAAAAUAUCUGUCUCUAUAAAAAUUAUUUAUAAAUUUAUUUUUAAGUUAAAAAGCUUAGAUUUUAUUAAAAGACGAGAAGACCCUUUAGAGUUUUAUAUUAGUUAAUAUUUAAAAUUUAUUGGAAAGAUUUUUUUUUAUAUUAAUUUAUAUUUUAUUGGGGUGAUAGAAAAAUUUAUUAAACUUUAUUUUAAUUUUUACAUUGAUUUAUGAAUUAUUGAUCCAUUAUUAUGAUUAAAAGAUUAAAUUACCUAAGGGAUAACAGCGUAAUUUUUUUUUAGAGUUCAAAUCGAUAAAAAAGUUUGCGACCUCGAUGUUGGAUUAAAAUUUUAUUUUGGUGAAGAAGUUAAAAUAGUAGGUCUGUUCGACCUUUAAAAUUUUACAUGAUCUGAGUUUAGACCGGUGUGAGCCAGGUCGGUUUCUAUCUUUAAUAAAAAUAGUAUUUCAGUACGAAAGGACCUUAUACUAUUAAAAUUUAAUUUAGAUUGAUUAUUAUUAGUUA
rnacentral:rRNA from 1 species